UGGUGUAUAGUCAAAUUAGGUAAGACAUUGGUUUUUGAUGCCAUCAUUUAAAGGUUCGAAUCCUUUUACACCAGA
rnacentral:tRNA from 1 species